GAGCUGCACGUCCAAUACAGUAGUCACUCCACAUGUGGCUGUUGAACACCAGAAAUGUGGCCAGCAUGACUGAGCUUUACUGUUUUGAUAGGACUACACUUGAUUUCAGCUGUGACAUCAUGUGAGACAUUAGUGUUGCAGAGCACAUGUCAGCACAGAGAUCCUCUAAAGAGUUUUACAAGCCUGCCUACACAAACGGACACAUCUCUGAAGAUAUACCUGUCUCCCCAAGCCGUGGACAUUUACAAUGAAACCUUUCAACUCUGAGCCUUUUGCAACCAUGAUUUCAAAACAGAAGACACAGGUUCGGGAAUAGACCAUAAAUACUCCAAACAGGACUUCCACAGGGCUUCUCUGCUACCAGGAGAUGGCCUACGGCUGGUGAGGGAGUCUGCGUGGGACAUGAUUAAUAAGAGACCUUUGGGAGACAGAAAUGUUCUGUAAACAGCAAUCUCACGCAUACUUAGAAUCUGGCGUCUUGCUCAGUGCCAUGCUGGACAUCUAUGGCUGUGUUUGCUUAGCCCUUCUUCCUGGGAUCUGCUCCUGCCUCCACUCCAACCAGUGAGGGAUGGUCUGUCUCCCUUCAGGUGUGCAGUUGACCUAGUCCUUGUCCAGAAUGUUUUGGCUUGGAACCAAUCAAAGAGGAACAGCUCCUCUUGAGCACUGGAGAGUCAGAUGUAAAGCCCAGCCUCUCAGGGGCUAUGUUUUC
rnacentral:lncRNA from 1 species